GACGAACGCUGGCGGCGUGCUUAACACAUGCAAGUCGAACGAUGAUGCCCAGCUUGCUGGGUGGAUUAGUGGCGAACGGGUGAGUAACACGUGAGUAACCUGCCCCUGACUCUGGGAUAAGCGUUGGAAACGACGUCUAAUACUGGAUAUGACUGCCGGCCGCAUGGUCUGGUGGUGGAAAGAUUUUUUGGUUGGGGAUGGACUCGCGGCCUAUCAGCUUGUUGGUGAGGUAAUGGCUCACCAAGGCGACGACGGGUAGCCGGCCUGAGAGGGGAACCGGCCACACUGGGACUGAGACACGGCCCAGACUCCUACGGGAGGCAGCAGUGGGGAAUAUUGCACAAUGGGCGAAAGCCUGAUGCAGCAACGCCGCGUGAGGGAUGACGGCCUUCGGGUUGUAAACCUCUUUUAGUAGGGAAGAAGCGAAAGUGACGGUACCUGCAGAAAAAGCACCGGCUAACUACGUGCCAGCCGCCGCAGUAA
rnacentral:rRNA from 1 species